AUCCAGCUGACGAGUCCUAAAAAAGGCCGAAACGUAUGUCCUGGAU
rfam:Schistosoma mansoni strain Puerto Rico chromosome 6, complete genome